AUGGCUGAAGCGACACGAAUUUUCUCUCCUGUUCUUCCACAAUUUACAUGUUAUUAAGUCGACACAAUAACUACAACAAUGAAACAGUGAGGAGAACUGUGCUACAGAACACCUGCAUUUCCACUAAGCAUGUUACUGAGGAUCCGCAAUCAACCCUUAACAUGGUCAGGAAGUUAUGAAAAAGAAAAGGUCUAAAAGAAAAGAUAGUGUGAACCACGUAUGCAGACAGCUCCAAUCAUUCCAUUUAUCAAGAAGACCGCUCUGGCACCAACAGCUCGAUGUGUCCAUCAUGUACUAUACAGUUUGUGAUGAACCAACUGCAAGGUGGUAUUAACAACUGCAUCUCCUGAAGGACUGAUUGUCACCCACGAAGUAGCACCAAAGUUAACAGUGUCAGUUCGUAAGUAAGGCCUGAAUGAACGAAGCAAGGACUGAAUGAACGAACCCAUGGAGAUUCAAGCUCUACUUAAUGGAGCGCUGAAAAUGUGUGCUUAUGGUUUUAUCAAAAUUUGCCUAAAAAUGUGUAAAAGGCUUUAGCUUUAUGGGUGUUUUUUUCUAUUUUUUUCUCUAAAAUUUGGGCAAGGCCCUUAUGGUUUAUCAAAUUCUGGCUGAAAAUGUG